rnacentral:lncRNA from 1 species
CCCACCCCAUACUGGGGAAACCCUGAUCUGGGGGGCACCCCCAAGCCAGUGAACCAGGGGACAGGGCUUCUUUCGAGGCAAGGGCCAGAUGGCAUUUAACACUGGGUCAGCAGAGCAGCCUCGAUGCAAUCAGAAGCCCCAGGGGACUCAGGCCACGCUCCAGGAGACCCAAGAGCACCCCCCUGCAGCUUGUGAUGAGCCCUGGUAGCCAUCCAUCGCCAAUCACCUCAUUUGGUAAAAAUCGGUCCAGGUGCAAGGGCCGGCUUGAAAGGAGCAAGGAGUCUAGAAGACAGGUGAGCUUGGAACAGAAACAGCAAGUGAUAUGUUUGGCUGAAGCACAGGAGUGCAGUCAGAGAUAAGG